rnacentral:lncRNA from 1 species
AUAGAAAGCGCAUUUAAUCCUUUUUUAACUGGGUGAGGUUGCCUCUUGGGACCCCCAGUUGAUAGAUGAGAAGCACCUGACUUUGAAAAGGAACCGAACUCAAGCAGGCUGCAUCCUAAGCCCGAUGGAGCAUCCCACUCACUGAGGAAGUACCUGCUCAGGAGGGUGUGAUGACUGGGGACAUGAAACCGGAAGCCAAGGAACACCCACCACACCCCUCCCCAUGCUCCGUGCAGGAUGUCCUGUGUUCACGCCAGGGCAGGCACAAGGAAAGUCAGCACGGCCCCAUGUUCCCAGCAGCUCAGUCUCACCUGUGAGUGGCAGGAGUGCGAGGUGUGAGUUGGAUGAGGGCUUUGGACCCCAGCGCUAAGGUGGGCUACGUGGAGCUCCCAGGAUGCUGGGGUCACAGGCCCCAGUGAGCCUGCUGAAAUUGUAGCAGAGACUGUAAUAUUUUAUCUAGACUACAAGACAUAAAUUUGCUGUGUGUUCUUGCACUACCAACUUUAAUAAUAAUGUCUUUGCAUGCCAUCUAUUCUCUCAUGGGCAAUAACACAGAUACAAACGGUCCUGAGUGCUCAGCGCUGCUGGGUUUUGGGGUCUGCUUUAGGGGAAACAUUUCCAAAACCUGCCAUCCGGUGCGUUUGCUCUUCUGAAAAACGUCCCCAGAACCAGCGGCCGCCUGGCCUCUGGGGCGCCCCGCAGGUCGUGUGAAUACACAUGUGGAGUGACUGAAACGGAUGCUUAUGGCUACUUUCCCACCCUGGAGGAGACUCUGCCAUCUGGGUUUGGGCUAAAGUCGAGGUAGUGUGUGAAUCUGAUUUCCCCCUUUAUGUAAUGAGCUGUUUUCCUGAUCUGUGGACCUGUUAUGUCAUGGCUUUGAUGAACAAGAAUAAAAAAGGUAAGUGAGAAAACAAA